ACGGGAGUGGCAAGCGUUAUCCGGAAUUAUUGGGCGUAAAGCGUCCGCAGGCGGCCUUGUAAGUCUGUCGUUAAAGCGUGGAGCUUAACUCCAUUUCGGCGAUGGAAACUACAAGGCUUGAGUGUGGUAGGGGCAGAGGGAAUCCCCGGUGUAGCGGUGAAAUGCGUAGAUAUCGGGAAGAACACCAGUGGCGAAGGCGCUCUGCUGGGCCAUAACUGACGCUCAUGGACGAAAGCCAGGGGAGCGAAAGGGAUUAGAUACCCCUGUAGUCCUGGCCGUAAACGAUGAACACUAGGUGUCGGGGGAAUCGACCCCCUCGGUGUCGUAGCCAACGCGUUAAGUGUUCCGCCUGGGGAGUACGCACGCAAGUGUG
rnacentral:rRNA from 1 species